GAUGUCUGAAAGUAUCAAGGUUAUUGUCUCUCUCUUUCUUGUGGUGUUAUUGGCUCUUGCAGCAACCCAGACAGAGUCAAGAUACAUAAAUUAUCAUGCCCUUCAUGGAGAUCACAGUUUAAUUUGUGAUAAAGCGCACCCAAACACCUGCGAGAAGGAAGAAGCCAAUCCUUAUACUAGAGGAUGCGAGACAAUCGAUCGUUGUCGUGGUCAAUCUCUAGGCCCAAAAAUGUGAAUCGACCAAGUAGAGUACACCACCCUUGGUUAAUUUUACAAAUGAUAUCUCCAUAUUAAUAUCAGAUGAUUAAUUUCAUUCAUUAUUUAUUUAUAAUCUGUAUUGGUUUGUAACUGAUUGUUACCCUAUCAUUUAUGAUAUAAAACAAAUAUAUUUAUGUUAUCUUUUUAUUUUUGAAUAUAUGUUUAAUUUAUUCAAAAGAAAACAAACUUUUUUACCCAAGUGCCACUAAGUUUUGUAAACAAUUAUCCACAAGCUUAAACCAGCUGCGUUCUUGAACUCUCUCGUUUGAUAAAAGGAGAGACACCGAUUGCGAACAAGUUUCUCCAAAGAUUUGGCAAGAGAUGUCACUGUCGUAAGAGCUGCUCCUUGUCUUCUAUCGUUACGUUCUUUCCAUAGUACAUGAACUGAAGCUUGUAAUACAUACCGUGUGAGAAAACGUUGGAGAAAACUGUGUCUUUUAUCUAAGGAACAUAAUCCUCCUGUUUUCUGAUAUUCUCCCAUGUUCUUUUAGUACUGAAAACUGGUUUGUAUUUUUCCUCCUUGUAUUUCCAGUGAGAUUGAUCCUCCACAACUGAAAUUUAUCCCUUUAAGCAUCUAUAAGUGUUUCCACCUCAUUAAAACGAUCAACUCGAUGCCUUCGUCUUCUUCGAUUAGCAACAGCCUUUGCGACAGUGAAUUUUAAAGGAAUUCCUAUGUAAAGCUAUUCCCGCGCCAUUGGAAUUUAAAGGAUUUGGAUAUAGUUUAAUUGUUGAUUUUAAAUGAUAUCUCAAUUAUUUGGGCGAUUGUAACUAUUUAUUGUUGUUUUGAAUAUUUAUAUAUAUAUAUAUAUAUUAAAAUAUUAUUUAUUUAUUUUAAAAUUAGUUAAAUAAAAACUUAUACCCCCAGUUAAAUAAAAACUAGCUCUACCACUGAUUGAACCUUGCAAGCUAGAUAUGUGUUGGAUCUUUUUUCGGAUAUAGCUUCUAUCCGAACAUCAGUCAUGUCAUCUUCCUCAUCGCUAGGGGUAUAUUUAGAAAGAGAAAAAUGAAAUAUAGGGUUUGGACCCCCAUUUUUAAAGGCUCACUUUUAAAAGGUUAUGUAGUUAAUUUUUUAAAAAACAUUUUACCAUUUCAUGUAAAGGAAAGAAGUGCAAACCAAGAAUGAAAAAAUGAUAAUAAUAAUAAAACAUAACUAAAGUAGGAGCUACAAUUAACAUAAAAAAGAAAAAAUAUUAUAUUUACAUAGACUUUUUAACUUUGUCUUUUCCUCUUUCUCCAUGACUCUUAAGCUUUUUCUCGUCUGUAAUAUUUGGGUUAGGCAUGGGCAUUCGAGGUUCCAAUCGGGUUUCGGUUUUGUCCAAUCAGAUCUCGGGUUUUCGGGUUUAUCAAAAUCAGUCUCAUUCGGGUUAUACAAAAAUUCGGUUCGGGACCAGUUCGGGUUCGGAUCGGGGUUAGUAAAUCUUCAAAGAACCGGUACAACCCGAUGUACUUUCGGGUUUGAGUCCCAAUCGGUUCUUUGGUUUAAAAGUACAUAAUUUGUAUUUACUUUGUAACCAAAACAUAAGUAAAAUCAGUUUUUCGGUUUUAAAAUACCUGAUUUAUAUCUAUUUUGUAACCAAAACAUAAGUUAAAUCGAUUCAAAAAUAAGAAAAGAACAUCAAACGCGAUCAUUCAAAAUUAAACGAAAGGUAAUGAUAGAAAGAAAACCAAAUAAAAUAAAGCAUAAAACAAAAACUAAGUUCUCAUGAAAUGAAAAAUAUUAUUCAAUGAAAACAAAACCAAAAUCUAAGAACUUCAAGCUUCAACCACCAACUUCAACCAUCAACAUUUAUGUAAUAUAUAAUUACUUUAGAUGUUCAAUAAUUUCUUAGUGUGUUCUGAAUACUAAAGAUUUAAGAUUAUGUUUGAUACAAGCUAUUUUGGGAGAUUUUGAAUUUUUUGGGUUCUAUCGAGUAUCCAUAUAGGUUCGGGUUCGGUUCGGAUAACACUCAUAACCCAAAAUACCACAAAACAAGAUCCAAUCGGUAUUUACGUCGUGUCGUGUCGGAUCGGUUCAGAUUCAUUUUUAUCGAAUCGGGUUCGAUUUAUUUGCCCAGCUCUAAUUUGGGUAGGCCCCCAUUUUUUCUUGCUUAUGGCCUCAUUUAUUGCCGAGAUCCCCCUACUCACCGCCUUCCGGAACGCCUUUAAAAGUUGUUUUGCGACCUUUAAUCUUGAACAAGGAAAGCAAAUUAUAUCUGUCAUUGCUAAAGAUCCCUUAAUUUUAAGAAAACAUCAACCAGCUGAUCUAUAUACUAAAAGUAUCUGUUUACUAAAAAUUACAUGUUUACUAAUUAAUCACCAUCCCAAAAAUAACUAUUUGAAGUACAUCCACUAUCUUCUAUAUAAGUACCAAUAACCUCUUCUUCAAAACCAAACAGAGCCGAUACCAAAUACAAUUAAAUAUAUAAACACAAAAUAAUUGAGCUCCUAGUCGGGGUUUCUCUUAUAAACUAUUUAUUUAUUUAAUUUGGUUGGAAAAUAAAAAUAAAUAGUAUGGGGAUGUCUGAAAGUAUCAAGGUUAUUGUCUCUCUCUUUCUUGUGGUGUUAUUGGCUCUUGCAGCAACCCAGACAGAGUCAAGAUACAUAAAUUAUCAUGCCCUUCAUGGAGAUCACAGUUUGAUUUGUGAUAAAGCGCACCCAAACACCUGCAAGAAGGAAGAAGCCAAUCCUUAUACCAGAGGAUGCGAGACAAUCGAUCGUUGUCGUGGUCAAUCUCUAGGCCCAAAAAUGUGAAUCGACCAAGUAGCGUACCACCCUUGGUUAAUUUUACAAAUGAUAUCUCCAUAUUAAUAUCAGAUGAUUAAUUUCAUUCAUUAUUUAUUUAUAAUCUGUAUUGGUUUGUAACUGAUUGUUACCCUAUCAUUUAUGAUAUAAAACAAAUAUAUUUAUGUUAUCUUUUUAUUUUUGAAUAUAUGUUUAAUUUAUUCAAAAGAAAACAAACUUUUUUACCCAAGUGCCACUAAGUUUUGUAAACAAUUAUCCACAAGCUUAAACCAGCUACGUUCUUGAACUCUCUCGUUUGAUAAAAGGAGAGACACCGAUUGCGAACAAGUUUCUCCAAAGAUUUGGCAAGAGAUGUCACUGUCGUAAGAGCUGCUCCUUGUCUUCUAUCGUUACGUUCUUUCCAUAGUACAUGAACUGAAGCUUGUAAUACAUACCGUGUGAGAAAACGUUGGAGAAAACUGUGUCUUUUAUCUAAGGAACAUAAUCCUCCUGUUUUCUGAUAUUCUCCCAUGUUCUUUUAGUACUGAAAACUGGUUUGUAUUUUUCCUCCUUGUAUUUCCAGUGAGAUUGAUCCUCCACAACUGAAAUUUAUCCCUUUAAGCAUCUAUAAGUGUUUCCACCUCAUUAAAACGAUCAACUCGAUGCCUUCGUCUUCUUCGAUUAGCAACAGCCUUUGCGACAGUGAAUUUUAAAGGAAUUCCUAUGUAAAGCUAUUCCCGCGCCAUUGGAAUUUAAAGGAUUUGGAUAUAGUUUAAUUGUUGAUUUUAAAUGAUAUCUCAAUUAUUUGGGCGAUUGUAACUAUUUAUUGUUGUUUUGAAUAUUUAUAUAUAUAUAUAUUAAAAUAUUAUUUAUUUAUUUUAAAAUUAGUUAAAUAAAAACUUAUACCCCCAGUUAAAUAAAAACUAGCUCUACCACUGAUUGAACCUUGCAAGCUAGAUAUGUGUUGGAUCUUUUUUCGGAUAUAGCUUCUAUCCGAACAUCAGUCAUGUCAUCUUCCUAAUCGCUAGGGGUAUAUUUAGAAAGAGAAAAAUGAAAUAUAGGGCUUGGACCCCCAUUUUUAAAGGCUCACUUUUAAAAGGUUAUGUAGUUAAUUUUUUAAAAAACAUUUUACCAUUUCAUGUAAAGGAAAGAAGUGCAAACCAAGAAUGAAAAAAUGAUAAUAAUAAUAAAACAUAACUAAAGUAGGAGCUACAAUUAACAUAAAAAAGAAAAAAAUAUUAUUUACAUAGACUUUUUAACUUUGUCUUUUCCUCUUUCUCCAUGACUCUUAAGCUUUUUCUCGUCUGUAAUAUUUGGGUUAGGCAUGGACAUUCGAGGUCCCAAUCGGGUUUCGGUUUUGUCCAAUCAGAUCUCGGGUUUUCGGGUUUAUCAAAAUCAGUCUCAUUCGGGUUAUACAAAAAUUCGGUUCGGGACCAGUUCGGGUUCGGGUUCGGGUCGGGGUUAGUAAAUCUUCAAAGAACCGGUACAACCCGAUGUACUUUCGGGUUUGAGUCCCAAUCGGUUCUUUGGUUUAAAAGUACAUAAUUUGUAUUUACUUUGUAACCAAAACAUAAGUAAAAUCAUUUCUUCGGUUUUAAAAUACCUGAUUUAUAUCUAUUUUGUAACCAAAACAUAAGUUAAAUCGAUUCAAAAAUAAGAAAAGAACAUCAAACGCGAUCAUUCAAAAUUAAACGAAAGGUAAUGAUAGAAAGAAAACCAAAUAAAAUAAAGCAUAAAACAAAAACUAAGUUCUCAUGAAAUGAAAAAUAUUAUUCAAUGAAAACAAAACCAAAAUCUAAGAACUUCAAGCUUCAACCACCAACUUCAACCAUCAACAUUAAUGUAAUAUAUAAUUACUUUAGAUGUUCAAUAAUUUCUUAGUGUGUUCUGAAUACUAAAGAUUUAAGAUCAUGUUUGAUACAAGCUAUUUUGGGAGAUUUUGAAUUUUUUGGGUUCUAUCGAGUAUCCAUAUAGGUUCGGGUUCGGUUCGGAUAACACUCAUAACCCAAAAUACCACAAAACAAGAUCCAAUCGGUAUUUACGUCGUGUCGGAUCGGUUCGGAUUCAUUUUUAUCGAAUCGGGUUCGAUUUAUUUGCCCAGCUCUAAUUUGGGUAGGCCCCCAUUUUUUCUUGCUUAUGGCCUCAUUUAUUGCCGAGAUCCCCCUACUCACCGCCUUCCGGAACGCCUUUAAAAGUUGUUUUGCGACCUUUAAUCUUGAACAAGGAAAGCAAAUUAUAUCUGUCAUUGCUAAAGAUCCCUUAAUUUUAAGAAAACAUCAACCAGCUGAUCUAUAUACUAAAAGUAUCUGUUUACUAAAAAUUACAUGUUUACUAAUUAAUCACCAUCCCAAAAAUAACUAUUUGAAGUACAUCCAUUAUCUUCUAUAUAAGUACCAAUAACCUCUUCUUCAAAACCAAACAGAGCCGAUACCAAAUACAAUUAAAUAUAUAAACACAAAAUAAUUGAGCUCCUAGUCGGGGUUUCUCUUAUAAACUAUUUAUUUAUUUAAUUUGUUUGGAAAAUAAAAAUAAAUAGUAUGGGGAUGUCUGAAAGUAUCAAGGUUAUUGUCUCUCUCUUUCUUGUGGUGUUAUUGGCUCUUGCAGCAACCCAGACAGAGUCAAGAUACAUAAAUUAUCAUGCCCUUCAUGGAGAUCACAGUUUGAUUUGUGAUAAAGCGCACCCAAACACCUGCAAGAAGGAAGAAGCCAAUCCUUAUACCAGAGGAUGCGAGACAAUCGAUUGUUGUCGUGGUCAAUCUCUAGGCCCAAAAAUGUGAAUCGACCAAGUAGCGUACCACCCUUGGUUAAUUUUACAAAUGAUAUCUCCAUAUUAAUAUCAGAUGAUUAAUUUCAUUCAUUAUUUAUUUAUAAUCUGUAUUGGUUUGUAACUGAUUGUUACCCUAUCAUUUAUGAUAUAAAACAAAUAUAUUUAUGUUAUCUUUUUAUUUUUAAAUAUAUGUUUAAUUUAUUCAAAAGAAAACAGACUUUUUUACCCAAGUGCCACUAAGUUUUGUCAAAAAUUAUCCACAAGCUUAAACCAGCUGCGUUCUUGAAAUCUCUCGUUUGAUAAAAGGAGAGACACCGAUUGCGAACCAGUUUCUUCAAAGAUUUGGCAAGAGAUGUCACUGUCGUAAGAGCUGCUCCUUGUCUUCUAUCGUUACGUUCUUUCCAUAGUACAUGAACUGAAGCUUAUAAUACAUACCGUGUGAGAAAACGUUGGAGAAAACUGUGUCUUUUAUCUAAGGAACAUAAUCCUCCUGUUUGCUGAUAUUCUCCCAUGUUCUUUUAGUACUGAAAACUGGUUUGUAUUUUUCCUCCUUGUAAUUCCAGAGAGAUUGAUCCCCCACAACAGAAAUUUAUCCCUUUGGUCAUCUAUAAGUGUUUCCACCUCAUUAAAACGAUCCACUCGAUGCCUUCGUCAUCUUUGAUUAGGAACAGCCAUUGCGACAGUGGAUUUUAAAGGAAUUACCAUGUCAAUACAUUCCCACGCCCCGAACAGAUCAUACAGCCUUCCCAUUGUUGUCCAUGAAUCAAGCCAGAUUGAGUUAUUCCUUCCAUCUCCAACUUUCAUCCUGUGAAACUAGUUUUUCAUAUCUCAGAACUUCAAUAGUUUUUGCCACAUCCAAGAUCCACGUUUUAGCAGGUAUACUUUAAUCCAUUGAAACCAAAGGGACGAUGUAGGAUAAACAAUACACCAAAUUAACUAUAAACAACAGACCUUGUUUAUUUCUUUUAAAGAACGUAGACCUAUGCCCCCCCCCCCCCACAUUUUUCUCUACUGAGAAGAGCCCAAGAUAUCUUAGCUUUGCGUGGAUUCAACUCAGAUAUCCAGACCAUAAAAAUGCAGAGCCCAACGAUCAUGGAGUUCACUGUAUUCCACGCAUCUAGAUCUCCAUAUUCUUUCGACGGCUUUGGUAAAGUUCCAUCUAUGAAACCCGACUUCCUCUUCGCACGCAAGGCAUUCUCCAACCCUGAGGCCCAUUCAGCAUAAUUCUCGCCGGUGAUUUGUACCGGAGAUAUUGCUAUACCCGGAUUAUCAGACGCUGAUAACUCAUAUGGAGAGUACGAUUUGGUAUCCAACACGGUGCCUGAUGCCAUCGUUAACUUGAAGGCAAAGAAAUUGUUUUUAAAUUUUAGAGGGUAGGCCCUGAUAUCAUGUAAAGUAACAAAGGAGAAGACCUCCAUAUAUACACACGUACAAUGACUCUAGAUAUACCCAAAUAAUAUGGACACUUAUCUAAAUAUACAUAUCAUUUAUCUCCAACAUAUUAGGAGACUUAUCUAGAACCUCCAGGAUUUAUCUCAACAUGCACUCACCAGGCAGAAUAAAACCAGCCAUCCAAAAGUUCACAAUUCUUAAGAGAGCCAGUUUUAUCAGCUGAAGCCUACCAUCCAGUGAUAAAAAUGUUUUUGUCCAGUGAGGGGUGCAGUUUCUUAUUUUCUCGAUCAAGGGACAGUAGUUUCACUUCCCGGACAGAGUGCAUUUUUCGAUCUCUACUAUUUGUGUCGUGCCUUUUCAGAUCUAAACAAAACAUAAGUGAUAAAUAUGAUCUAAACUAAAAACUAAUUUCAAUUGUAGACCUAAAAAAACAUAAGUGCUAAAUACAACGUCGUUUAUCUAAUUCAUGUCUAUAAUUCAAAUUAAUUUAGUUUAGGUCGUAUUUAGCACUUAUGUUUUGCUUGGGUGUGCAACACGAAUAGUAAAGGUUGAAAAAUACCAUUUUCCCCUGACUUCCCCAUAUGCCUUGUAAGCAAAGGUAGACUAAAGAUAGCGUACCAGUGACACUCCAGAGGCAAAAUGAAACCGAUUUCUGUCUGAUGCAAAGUAUUUUCAGACAUGCCAGCACAAUAUAUAGUUGUCUUAUCCAUGAUUAUGUGCAGACCAUAGACUUUCCCGAAGUAAUCAAAUACCGCACAACAAUGCAUUAUAUUGACCUGAUUAUACCAUCAGUGAACACCAUAAUGUCAUCAGCAAAAUUUAAUAAGUAUGUUAAGUCAAUAUUCUUACACUUCAGAUGGUAACCCAUAUUUCUUUCAUUUGCUGACUUAUCAAGAAGUUCUGACAAGACAUUCAUGCAAAUUACAAAUAGAUAGGAAGAUAGAGCAAAUCCCUGUCACAAUCUUCUUGUGUUCUAUUUUAUUUAGAAAAUAUAGAUUAGAAAUGUAAUUUUACAAUCUUUCUCUAUCCCUCAUUCUCUUCACGAUGCAUUAAUGUUGCGAUUGGUUAUUCUAUUUUGUCUAAUAAAUAUGAUACAGUAUAACAUCACAUAUGUACACUAUACAUACCACAAAAUUCACGCGUAGAAGGAGAAAUCAGUCAGUUUCCUUACCGAACUGUCACAUCAAAAGUACUAUUUUUUAUAUGGUUAGAUUUUAAAUUUUUUCUCUGAUAUAGUCAUCUAGCUAAUUCAUCCAUAAUACAUAAUGGUAGCAUAAAAUGUUAUUCAAAAAUGUAUUAUGGUUUCAAAGUCAAAAGCUUUGAACUUUUCAAGAUAUGCCUACUCGCGGGUCAUCUUCUUUCACCUUCGUCUAUCUGUGUAUAUACAUAAAUACGUAUCUCAUGACUGCAAAUAAACCAAAAAAAAUG
rnacentral:lncRNA from 1 species